rnacentral:lncRNA from 1 species
GAGUCUUUAGGUUUUUCCAAAUAUAAAAUCAUAUCAUCUCCAAGGAUAAUUUGACUUUUCAUUUCCAGUUUGAAUGCCCUUUAUUUCUUCCUGUUGUCUGAUUGCUCUAGCUAGGAUUUCCAGUACUAUGUUAAAUAACAGUGGUGAAAGUGGGCAUUGUUUUCAUGUUCCAGAUAUAAUAGGAAAGGCUUUCAGUUUUUUUCCAUUCAGUAAGAUACCAUCUGUGGGUCUGUUGUAUAUGGCUUUUGUUAUGUUGAGGUAUGUUCCUUCUAUACCGAGUUUUUGAGAGUUUGUAUCAUGAAGAGAUGUUGAAUUUUAUAAAAUGGUUUUUUAGCAUCAUUUGAAAUUAUCCUAUGGUUUUUGCCCUUCAUUUUGUUGAUAUGAUGUAUCACAUUGAUUAAUUUGCAUAUGUUGAACCAUCUUUGCAUCCCUAGGAUAAAUCUCACGUGGUCAUAAUGAACUUUUUAAUGUGUUGUUGAAUUUGGCUUGCUAGGAUUUUGUUGAGGAUUUUUGCAUCAAUGUUCAUUAGGGAUAUUGUCCUGUAGUUUUCUUUUUCUUUUUCUUUUUUUUUUUUGAUGUGUCUUUAUCUGGUUCUGGAAUCAUGGUAACACUGGGCUUAUAGAAUCAGUUUGGAAGCUUUUUUUUGAAUAGUUUGAGUAGGAUUGGCAUUAGUUCUUUAAAUGUUUGGUAAAAUUCAGCAGUGAAGACAUUGGGUCCUGGGAUUUUCAUUGCUGGGAAAGAAAAAAUUAUUAUUAUUUUGGCUUCAGUCUCAUUACUUGUUAUAGGUCUGUUGAAGUUUUGGAUUUCUUUAUGGUUUAAUCUUGGUAGGUUGUAUAUGUCUAGGAAUUUAUCAGUUUCUUCUAGGUUUUUCAGUUUAUUGGCAUAUCGUUGUUCACAGUAGCUUCUAGUGAUCUGAUGAUCAUUAUGGGUUCAUGAAGGAGGCAUGUUAUCAGAGAUUCAGGGCUAUAUUUUCUACCCUCUUCCUUGCCUCUUUUAGUGAUAUGAAGUUACAACCAGGUGCUAUGAUUGCGCAGCUGUUUUGGUUCUUAUGAAUGUGCUUUUUAUUGUGUGGAUAGUUGUGCAAUUUGGUGUUCCUGCAGGGAAGACAAUUGGUGGAGGCUUCUAGUUGGCCAUGUUGUCCUGCCUCCUCUCACUUUUAUUUUAUUUAUUUUUUUGAGACAGAGUCUCACCCUGUCGCCCUGGCUGGAGUGCAGUGGCAUGAUCAUGGCUUACUGCAGCCUUGAUCAACGGAAUCAUUAUUAUAAUUUAGCUACUAUUAGUUUAGAUAGCCUCUAAUUAAUAGUGUUGCAUAAUUUAAUCAUUGUUCUUUUAAUCUCACAUCUGUGUAAGAAUAUGAGUAACACAGAGAAAGAAAAUUAUUUCUUUCAUCCAGGUUAUAAUUUAGUUUCUUUGGGUUGAGCUUCAGUCAUUUAGUUUUUAUUAAAGUUACAUAUUAAAAUAGAUCCUGAGAAAUGCGAAUACUAAUGUAACUUAGUGGUUUUAAGAACAGUGAUACUAUACGAUAUAUAGGCUGUUAUCAUGUAGAUGCAGAGAAAUAACAUUAUCAAAGGUAUCUUCAUGAUGCAAUGUAUAUUGAAUGUGAAAUUAAUUCCUGCAGAAUAAAUGCUGUAGGAAUAACUAAGGUCCUUUUGCUAAGGUUUAUACAGUCUGGCAUGCCCUGGGGAAUCUAGUUCCCUCCGAAGUAACUAAAAACAGACGAACUUUAACUGAAAACAUAUCAUCUGAAAGAAUUUCGUUAAUGACUUUCUCCUUAUUACUUAGAGUUUAAAUUUGGUAAAUCUUCUGAUGCUUUUCUUUCCUUCCCAUCCCCCAGGAAUAGCAACUGAAAUCCAGACAAGCAUUCAGUAUAGAAAACUACGUUUCUGAGGGACCAUUACAUUUUAUUUUGCUUUGCUCCCUUGUUGGAGUUGUAAGCAACCUAUUAAAAAGUUUUUGUUUUUAAAUAAAACUUUUUUCCUAAAGAAGGUUUAAAUUUAUGACACAGUUCUUUUUAUCCACUUACUAGUCUUGCCUCCACUAGAGUCUGUCUUGCAUCAUACAUUCAACUUGACAAGUUUUCUGUCAAUGUAAAUGCGUACAUAUGUAUUUUAAUAUUGGAAAGAUCUCUUUCAGGGAACCCUGCAAAGACUGCUUUAAUAAAGUAUAACCUCUUGGUGAUGACGUGAAAAAAAUUAUUCUCCUUUUGUCAUUUUGUUUAUUUUAUAACUUUAGAUAUUUGAACUUUCUAA